GAUGAAGAACGUAGCGAAAUGCGAUAAGUAGUGUGAAUUGCAGAAAUCCGUGAAUCAUCGAAUCUUUGAACGCACAUUGCGCCUUCUGGUAUUCCGGAAGGCAUGCCUGUUCGAGAGUCAUUAACAACCGUUUCGAUCCCUUUCUUUCAGAAAUUACAAAGAGGAAAAGGGUUUGGUUAUGGUGGAGGAGGGAAAGGGAGCGUUUAGCCUGUAAAAAAAGAGGCUGUGUUCCGCCUCCCCCCCAAAAUUGUACAGGCGGUCGUGUGCGCCCACGCAUCGAGGUGUUGUAAAAGCUGCCACGGCACUUUUCACCUGUGCAGUGCGAGAUUGGCCAGCCGGUUUAAAAACCCCUCCAAACAAUCAAAGGUUGACCUCGGAUCAGGUAGGGAUACCCGCUGAACUUAAGCAUAUCAAUAAGCGGAGGA
rnacentral:misc_RNA from 1 species